rnacentral:rRNA from 1 species
CCAAUAGCGUAUAUUAAAGUUGUUGCAGUUAAAAAGCUCGUAGUUGAACUUCGGGAUCAAUUGAUAUGGUCAUGCCUUGGUAUGUACUGUUCAUAUUGGUUCUCACCUUCUAAUGAACCAUAAUGUCAUUUAUUUGUUGUUAUGGGGAAUUAGGACUGUUACCUUGAAAAAAUUAGAGUGUUUAAAGCAGGCUCACGCUUGAAUACAUUAGCUUGGAAUAAUGACAUAGGACAUCGCAUUCUAUUUUGUUGGUUUCUAGGAUCGAUGUAAUGAUUAAUAGGGAUAGUUGGGGGCAUUAGUAUUCAAUUGUCAGAGGUGAAAUUCUUGGAUUUAUUGAAGACUAACUACUGCGAAAGCAUUUGCCAAGGAUGUUUUCAUUAAUCAAGAACGAGAGUUAGGGGAUCGAAGACGAUCAGAUACCGUCGUAGUCUUAACCAUAAACUAUGCCGACUAGGGAUCGGAUGAUGUUGAUUUUUUAAUGACUCAUUCGGCACCUUACG